rnacentral:tRNA from 2 species
UGGGCCAUCCUGGACUUGAACCAGAGACCUCGCCC